ACGGGGUUUAUAUGACGGAACUCUCCGGAGGGAAGAUAUAUAAACCUAGUGGCGGACGGGUGAGUAACGCGUGGGCAACCUGCCCUGUACCGGGGGACAACAGCCAGAAAUGGCUGCUAAUACCGCAUAAGCCUGCUGUGCCGCAUGGCACAGCAGGGAAAACCACGGUGGUACAGGAUGGGCCCGCGUCUGAUUAGUUAGUUGGCAGGGUAACGGCCUACCAAGACAACGAUCAGUAGCCGGCUUGAGAGAGUGGACGGCCACAUUGGGACUGAGACACGGCCCAGACUCCUGCGGGAGGCAGCAGUGGGGAAUAUUGCACAAUGGGGGGAACCCUGAUGCAGCAAUGCCGCGUGGGUGAAGAAGCACUCCGGUGCGUAAAGCCCUGUCAGCAGGGAAGAAAAUGACAGUACCUGGACAAGAAGCCCCGGCUAACUACGUGCCAGCAGCCGCGGUAAUACGUAGGGGGCAAGCGUUAUCCGGAUUUACUGGGUGUAAAGGGAGCGCAGGCGGCGUGGCGAGUCAGAUGUGAAAACCCGGGGCCCAACCCCGGGAGUGCAUUUGAAACUGCCAUGCUGGAGUGCCGGAGAGGUAAGCGGAAUUCCUAGUGUAGCGGUGAAAUGCGUAGAUAUUAGGAGGAACACCAGUGGCGGAGGCGGCUUACUGGACGGUAACUGACGCUGAGGCUCGAAAGCGUGNGGAGCAAACAGGAUUAGAUACNCUGGUAGUCCACGCCGUAAACGAUGAAUACUAGGUACAGGGGCACAAAAGUGCUUCUGUGCCGCAGCUAACGCAAUAAGUAUUCCACCUGGGGAGUACGUUCGCAAGAAUGAAACUCA
rnacentral:rRNA from 1 species